rnacentral:rRNA from 1 species
ACGGGAGGCAGCAGUAGGGAAUAUUGCACAAUGGGGGAAACCCUGAUGCAGCGACGCCGCGUGAGUGAUGAAGUAUUUCGGUAUGUAAAGCUCUAUCAGCAGGGAAGAUAAUGACGGUACCUGACUAAGAAGCCCCGGCUAACUACGUGCCAGCAGCCGCGGUAAUACGUAGGGGGCAAGCGUUAUCCGGAUUUACUGGGUGUAAAGGGAGUGUAGGUGGUUUGGCAAGCCAGAUGUGAAAGCCCGGGGCUCAACCCCGCGGACUGCAUUUGGAACUGUUAAACUUGAGUGCAGGAGAGGAAAGUGGAAUUCGUAGUGUAGCGGUGAAAUGCGUAGAUAUUAGGAGGAACACCAGUGGCGAAGGCGGCUUGCUGGACGAGUACUGACGUUCAGGCUCGAAAGCGUGGGGAGCAAACAGGAUUAGAUACCCUGGUA